rnacentral:rRNA from 1 species
CCAAUCGAACCCGGAGAUAGCUGGUUCUCCUCGAAAUAGCUUUAGGGCUAGCCUCAUGGAUCAUUGAUGGGGGUAGAGCACUGAAUGUGCGCGGGGGCCACAAAGCCUACCAAACGCUAUCAAACUUCGAAUACCAUACAAUGCAGACCAUGGGAGUCAGUCCGCGAGAGAUAAGUUCCGCGGGCAAAAGGGGAACACCCCAGAUCAACCGCUAAGGUCCCCAAGUUCACGUUAAGUGGAGAAGGAUGUGGAAUUGCACAGACAACCAGGAUGUUGGCUCAGAAGCAGCCACACAUUUAAAGAGUGCGUAAUAGCUCACUGGUCGAGUGAUUGUGCGCCGAAGAUGUCCGGGGCUAAACGUGACACCGAAGCGAUGGGUGCAUCUGAAAGGAUGCGCGGUAGAGGAGCAAUGUGCAGAGGCAGAAGCCGUAUCGAGAGGCACGGUGGACACUGCACAAGAGAGAAUGCCGGUAUGAGUAGCGAGAGGCAUGCGAGAAACAUGCCCGUCGAAAGCCCAAGGUUUCCUGGGGAAGGUUCAUCCGCCCAGGGUAAGUCGGGGCCUAAGCCGAGGACGGAAGUCGUAGGCGAUGGAUAGCAGGUGUAGAUUCCUGCACUACCGAUGGAAUGAAGCAGUGACACAGAAGGAUAACUCGAGCAGGGUGAUGGUCAACCCUGUGCAAGCAUCAAGGUUGGGUUGUAGUGAAGUACGCAAUCCUAUAAGCUGAGAUGUGAUGCGGACCGAAAUUUCAGUAGGGAAGCGAGUGAGUUCACGCUGGCGAGAAAAGCUGCUAGUAUAUCCAAAGGUACCCGUACCGGAAACCGACGCAGGUGGGCGAGGAGAGAAUCCUGAGACGAACGGGAGAACCCUUGUUAAGGAACUCGGCAAAAUGACCCCGUAACUUCGGGAUAAGGGGUGCCUGCGAGAGCAGGCCGCAGAGAAUAGUCACAAGCGACUGUUUAGCAAAAACACAGGUAUCUGCGAAAGCGAGAGCUGACGUAUAGGUGCUGACACCUGCCCGGUGCUGGAAGGUUAAGGGAACAUGUUAGAGCAAUCGAAGCAUCGAACCGAAGCCCCAGUAAACGGCGGCCGUAACUAUAACGGUCCUAAGGUAGCGAAAUUCCUUGUCGGGUAAGUUCCGACCCGCACGAAUGGUGUAACGACUUGUGAGCUGUCUCAACAGGGGGCCCGGUGAAAUUGAAGUAUGGGUGAAGAUGCCCAUUACCCGCGACUGGACGGAAAGACCCCGUAGAGCUUUACUGCAGCCUGAUAUUGAGUUUCGGUAACUGAUGCACAGGAUAGGUGGGAGUCUGAGAGACAUGGGUUUCGGCUCGUGUGGAGACGAUGUUGGGAUACCACUCUUCGGUUACUGAAAUUCUAACAUAGCUCUGUGAAACCAGAGGAUGGACAGUGUCAGGUGGACAGUUUGACUGGGGCGGUCGCCUCCGAAAGAGUAACGGAGGCGCCCAAAGGUACCCUCAGAAUGGAUGGAAACCAUUCGAAGAGCGCAAAGGCAGAAGGGUGCCUGACUGCGAGAGUGACAACUCGAGCAGAGACGAAAGUCGGGCUUAGUGAUCCGGCGGUAUUGAGUGGAAAAGCCGUCGCUUAACGGAUAAAAGCUACCUCGGGGAUAACAGGCUGAUCUCCCCCAAGAGUCCACAUCGACGGGGAGGUUUGGCACCUCGAUGUCGGCUCGUCGCAUCCUGGGGCUGAAGCAGGUCCCAAGGGUUUGGCUGUUCGCCAAUUAAAGCGGCACGCGAGCUGGGUUCAGAACGUCGUGAGACAGUUCGGUCCCUAUCCAUCGUGGGCGUAGGAGUCAUGAGAGGAGCUGUUCCUAGUACGAGAGGACCGGAAUGGACGCACCACUGGUGCAACUGUUGUCGUGCCAACGGCAUAGCAGGGAAGCGAAGUGCGGAUGGGAUAAACGCUGAAGGCAUCUAAGCGUGAAGCCCACCUCAAGAAUAAGACUCCACAAUAGACCCCUGGAGGACUACCAGGUAGAUAGGUCAUCGGUGGAAGCGCUGUAAGGCGUGUAGCUUGAUGAUACUAAUCGGUCGAAAGCUUCAUUUA